AGAAGGAAGAGAAGACACUCCUUAAACAAGUCAGGCUAGACUUCCUCACACUCACCUCCAACUUUGAUCUCUGCAGCAGGAAGUGCUCCUGUUAAAACUGGAACUUACUGAGAUUUUCCCCUGUAAUUAGGGACAGGAAAACACAUUCCACAAUGGAGCCUGCAUGUCUAAUUACCUGCAACCUAGUUGUACCUUGCUGGCAAGAAGCAAGCCACCAAUAGCAUUUAUUAAUGAAUUACUGAAUUUCAUUAUAAGAUACUGGGAGUCUGUUAGGAAGCUAGCUCCUAACAACAACAAAAAAUAUCUCAAAAUCAACAACAACAAAAAGAUUUAGCCAUGUGGAAGACAGACUUAUACAGCAAUGAAGAAAUUGUACUUUAAAAAGUGAUGAGGUUUUCAGAGCACCAUUUCAGUUGGAGCUGCGCUGUGUUACCAUGCUUCGGUAUUAUUGUCCUUUCAGGGCAGUUGCAGCCAGCCAUAGGGAUGUUAGCUCUUUGGAAGCUCCAUUAAGGGGCUUGUUUUCACACCACCUGGUUUGAAGGCUCUGUCAACGUAGGGCAUCUAACCUGUGGGAGAGGCUUUGAAUGUAGUUCAGAAGUUGGCAGGCAGGGUGAUACCUGGUGGGAAAUGGGCCUGCCUGGUAAUUGCUUGAAAGACAUAAAGACCCUUGGUCAGAUCCCUUUCUUUACCUCCUGCAUUCCUUCUAGGGAGAAGGUCAGGGAGGAGAAAGAAUAUGUGAGAGUGCUAAUGGUGAUUAUUUUUUUCCCUUUUAAAACUGACGUUUUUAACGUUCUUCCAUAGGAGAAGAGUUGUUGACGAUGACAAGGAAAAGAGAGGAAACAGGACAAAGCCAGGGUUAGGUUUUCAUACUCCUUGUUUCAAAUAAAUAAAUGGCCUCUUCCCUGCUGUAAAUCAGAAAAACCAAAAUGAAUACAUUCUGAAGCUUAAUAUCCUAAGUAUACAAGUCCUCAACAAAAUGUUCUCUGUUAAGAAGCAGGUGACAAUUAACUGUAAGGAGAGGAACUUUGUUUCCUGUGAUUUUGUCCUCAGAAGAUGGGGAGAUGGGUUAUUCAUGCAAACUACUGGUGCAUAUCUGAGCCGUGGUAUUUUCUGGAGUAGAACUACACCUCUCUCUCUUUUUUUUUUCUCUUAAAUCUGUCCUGGUAAAUUUAGGUUUUCCUAAAAAAUAAAAGCAAACAAAAAAGGAAAAUACCCCAACAGCCAAGAAAGGAAAUUAGGAAUCAAGUUUGAAAACUAUUUUUGUUCAGACAUGAUCAUAUUAUCCAUUUUGCCCUCCAAAAUUAGAUGGAGUAUGAUUUUUCACUUUUAAAAAGGGCCCUUGGACCAAGUCACCCAAACAAGUUAAGUUCAUAGGAUGGUUCUCCCCAGUGUGUUCUUGAAAUCAAAGUGAGACCCUGUCUCAUUGUCAAUAACAGGAUUUACAUCGCUUUUCAGGAUGAAAUUGGUCCUUGGAUUAGCAGCUGGUACACAGUUACUUUUGUUUAUCUGAUCAUUAAUAUGUAGAACAUCAUAUAACUUGUUGAUAAAGCACAAAACCUUGCUAAUUCAGUCAUUUGAUAUCAUAAAACUUUAUAACAUACAGCUAUUACUUAAAAAGUAAAUCAAACUGACUACUGUGAGUUAUAGAGUAAAGAGAAGAAAAAACAUAAGUAGGUAAAUGGAGGAAUCAGUGAAUUCUGUAUUAAUUCUGGUAGGAAAAUUUCCCAGGGUACUGCUACCGUGGGUAAGCUGUUAAAUAACUCUUUUUAAAAUUGUACUUCUAAGGAUAUUUGUCAUCAUCAGAGGUAACCUUUUCUCUUGCUUCAGAUGUGUUAAGUCUUUACACUUAUUAAUUCUUUUAUGUAGUGUUUGUAGUUUGUAGAAGGAAAUUGAUUUUCUUGUAAUGGGAAAAUCAUCGCUCCUAUUAUGACAUAAAACUUUAAUUUGAUGCCUCCUCCACUGACCCAAGCUAAUCACAACAAAAACAUGUUAACAAAGUGAGUAAAGUUCUUUCUUUCAUGCAUCAAUUUUACUACUCAGGGCUGCCCCAGAAAGUCUUAAAUGAAGGUGCUGCUCUGUUAACCCUGGGACUGUGUGUGUGUGUGUGUGUGUGUGUGUGUUGCAUGUAACCAUUCUGACAGACUGUGAAAUAUUGAUGUUCAGGAUGAAACUUGAACUCCUCAGAUAAUCAGUUUCAAAGAACAAAGAAAUAUUAAAGGCGGUUAUCAUUAAUGGGCAGAACUCACAACAGCUGAAAACCAUGGACAUAGCUUCCUCUUUAAUUUGGGCAGAUGGGAAUGCACUCCCCCCAAAUCAAACGGAAAUAGUAAAAUUUAAAACUUUUAUGAGUACCCAGCUCAACUGCACCUGGCUUUCCUAAUUGCCUUCAACCAAGUCAUUACUGGGGAGGCAAGAUGUUUAGCCACUAAUAGCCCUUAUUAAUGUAUAAUAGGAAUUUACUUGUAAAACAGGAUUACUGGGAUGGCAUGAUGUCAUAAAGACAGAGUGCUGACAUUUUAGAUUGUUUUAUGUAAGAAUGUUGAAUUAUGAUGUAGGAGUGGAAUAUUCCUUUGGUAAUUAAUCACAAUUUGGUGUGGCCUCAAUGUAGGUUAGGCUGAUAGAUACAUAAAAUUCAUAACAGUAAUGGUCCUCCAUUAAAGGCUGUGUUUGUGCAAAUGCACGUCAUUCUCAUGAAUUAUCUAUGUGAAAGAAAAUCUCUAGUAGUUUACAGAUGUGCAAAAUCUGACCAUAGCAGGUGUAAAUAAAAGGUUUCAGCACAGCAGCUUCCCUGAUUCUGUAAAAAUGUCAUUUUACAAUUAUAAAAAUGCCUGCAGAUUUUCUUCUUGGUCUCAAUAAUGCAAGAAAUGGGACACAUUAAUUUUCCUAGACCUCAAACUUAGAAUCUGUCAAUAUGGCUUUGUGAUUAAUGGGCACAGACUUUUACCUGCCUCAUAAAUAUAAUGUGUCUUGAUUACUGGCUCUGUUUGCAGAGCAAUAGUUAACAUGAUGUCAACACUUACAUUGUAAACCCCGUUUUUGAAGGGGUUUAUAACUUGGUCAUAAAAAGUCGCUCGGGAUGACACUCUGAAUAUGAAGUCUUAGUUCUGGGGGAUGUUUAAAGGAAUAGAUUUCUGAGUGUUCAAUUUACCUAUUUGUAAAUUUAUGAAGACCUUAGCUACACAUAAAAAUUUCAAGUUUUAUAUACUCUAAAGAGAAAAUAUUUAAAUAAUAAAGAGGGCUUCUUAUUGCUCAUUUUCUUCAGUUUUUUCUAAGGAAAUACUCUAUAUUUAGGUGUUGGAUCAUUCAUUUUACACCAAAAGGGACAUUUUAAACAGUUAUGAUACGUAUCAGAAGACAUUUUAAAAAAAUCAUUCAGUAUUAGUCUUUGGAAUUUUAUGCAAGUUAGCCAAAAAAAAGUCAUGUUUUAGGUCAGAAUCUCUAAGAGUUCUAGGACAAAGCUUGAAACAUGCAAGCCUUGGGUAUAACAUGAAGUGGGUAAGACAACAAGCAUCCUUUCUGAAUUAGAACAUAGUUUCUCUUGUUUUCAAGUGACUGAAAGUCGCCCAGACUUGCGCCUAGGCCAGCUCCUUUCCACCUCCCGAGGCUUGGGGACUGCAUGAUGAUGCUUCCCCAAGAUGUAGAGGUUGGGCGGGGGUCACCCUCAGGCAGUCGGGUUUCUUAAGAGCCCUUAGAACUGCCACUGCAAUGCUUCUCUUCCAGUCUGCAAGCGCAGCGGCCAGGAAGCCAGGAUUGACUGUGUGGGAAUUUGGCGGGGGUUGGAUGGGAGGCCAUGGGCAGAAUGCAAACUUCUGAGGUAGGUGUUCAGCUGCCACAAUUCAUUUAACUUGUUGGAUAGCUUAAUUGUUUUAAUUUUAAAAAUUGUCUUAAAGUACUUUGUAAUUGGUUCCAAAGCCACUAUUUGAACUGAAAAGGUUUUUGUUGUUAGUUUUUGCCUUUUGGGGAGAUAGGGAGGCGAACAAGACUGUUAAACCUGCAGUGAUGGGCAAGUUUUAGCUUUGCUUCCUCCUUCCCAUCCUGUUUCCCUCCCUUCCUAUCUCCAUU